rnacentral:rRNA from 1 species
AACGAACGCUGGCGGCAUGCCUAACACAUGCAAGUCGAACGAUCCCUUCGGGGUUAGUGGCGCACGGGUGCGUAACGCGUGGGAACCUGCCCUUAGGUUCGGAAUAACUCAGAGAAAUUUGAGCUAAUACCGGAUAAUGUCUUCGGACCAAAGAUUUAGCGCCUUGGGAUGGGCUCGCGUUGGAUUAGCUUGUUGGGGGGGUAGAGGCAUACCAAGGCUACGAUGGGUAGCUGGUCUGGGAGGAUGAUAAGCCACACUGGGCCUGGGAUACGGCCCAGACUCCUACGGGAGGGAGGGGUGGGGAAGGGUACACAAGGGGCGGGAGCCUAAUCCAGCAACGCCACGUGCGGGAUGAGGGCCUUGGGGUAGGAUAGCGCUUUCGUCUUUGACGGAGCGUGAGUGACGGUAACGGGUGAAGAAGCACCGGCUAACUACGUG